GCCGAGCAUGGUGGUGCAUGCCUGUAGUCCCAGCUACUUGGGAAGCUGAGGCAGGAGGAUCACUUGAGCCCAGGAGGUCCAGGCUGCAGUGAGCGAUGUUCAUGCCACUGCACUCCAGCCUGGGCAACAAAGUGAGAUCCCGUCUCAA
rnacentral:SRP_RNA from 2 species